rnacentral:misc_RNA from 1 species
GAUGAAGAACGUAGCGAAAUGCGAUACGUAAUGUGAAUUGCAGAAUUCAGUGAAUCAUCGAAUCUUUGAACGCAUAUUGCGCUCUCUGGUAUUCCGGAGAGCAUGCUUGUUUGAGUAUCAGUAAACACCUCAACUUCCAUUUCUUUUUUGAAAUGGGAGUUGGACUUGAGUGAUCCCAACGCUUUUCCUCACCGAAAAGUGGCGGGUUACUUGAAAUGCAGGUGCAGCUGGACUUUUCUCUGAGCUAUAAGCAUAUCUAUUUAGUCUGCCUAAAAAACAGAUUAUUACCUUUGCUGCAGCUAACAUAAAGGAGAUUAGUUCUUGUGCUGACUGAUGCAGGAUUCACAAAGACAGCUUCGGCCGACUUUGUAAACUCGAUCUCAAAUCAAGUAAGACUACCCGCUGAACUUAAGCAUAUCAAUAAGCGGAGGA